rnacentral:rRNA from 1 species
GAUGAACGCUGGCGGCGUGCUUAACACAUGCAAGUCGAACGGAAAGGCCACAGCUUGCUGUGCUACUCGAGUGGCGAAGGGGUGCGUAACACGUGGGUGAUCUGCCCUGUACUUCGGGAUAAGCUUGGGAAACUGGGUUUACUCCCGGAUCGGAAUCACAUGUGGGUGUGUGGUUGGAAAGCUUUUGCGGUAUGGGAUGAGCUCGCGGCCUAUCAGCUUGUUGGUGGGGUAAUGGUCUACCAAGGCGUCGACGGGUAGCCGGCCGUAGAGGGUGUACGGCCACAUUGGGACUGAGAUACGGCCCAGACUCCUACAGUAGACAGCAGUGGGGAAUAUUACACAAUGGGCGCAAGCCUGAUGCAGCGACGCCGCGGGUGUGAUGACGGCCUGUGGGUUGUAAACUCCUGUCGUCAAGGACGAAGCGAAAGUGACGGUACCUGGAGAAGAAGCACCGGCUAACUACGUG